AGAGUUUGAUCAUGGCUCAGAGCGAACGCUAGCGGCAGGCUUAACACAUGCAAGUCGAACGCGUGCCUUCGGGCACGAGUGGCGAACGGGUGAGUAACACGUGGGUCACGUACCCUGAGGUGGGGGAUAACCCGAGGAAACUCGGGCUAAUACCGCAUAUGGCUACGGCUAAAAGCCUUCGGGCGCCUUUGGAACGGCCCGCGGCCGAUUAUUUAAUCCUAGUUGGUGAGGUAACGGCUCACCAAGGGUACGAUCGGUAGCUGGUCUGAGAGGACGAUCAGCCACACUGGGACUGAGACACGGCCCAGACUCCUACGGGAGGCAGCAGUGGGGAAUAUUGGACAAUGGGCGAAAGCCUGAUCCAGCCAUGCCGCGUGGGUGAAGAAGGCCUUCGGGUUGUAAAGCCCUGUCGGGAGGGAAGAAAAAAAUGACGGUACCUCGCAAGAAAGCACCGGCUAACUCCGUGCCAGCAGCCGCGGUAAUACGGAGGGUGCAAGCGUUGCUCGGAAUCACUGGGCGUAAAGCGACCGCAGGCGGCCUGACAAGUCGGAUGUGAAAGCCCUGGGCUCAACUCAGGAAUUGCAUUCGAAACUGGCAGGCUCGAGUACGGGAGAGGGGGGUGGAAUUCCUGGUGUAGGGGUGAAAUUCGUUGAUAUCAGGAGGAACACCGGCGGCGAAGGCGGCCCCCUGGCCCGCAACUGACGCUCAUGGUCGAAAGCGUGGGGAGCAAACAGGAUUAGAUACCCUAGUAGUCC
rnacentral:rRNA from 1 species